UCCUACAUAUAACCUUUAAAGGUUGGCAGCUAUAGACUGUUGUCAGGAAUUCCUGUUUCUCUCAUUCUAAUUUCACUGCUUUCAGAGUACUCAAAGAUCAGUUGUUUUUUUAUGAAAGUCAAGACACCAAGGAUAUGUAGAUGUGCAUGGGAGUUGCAUUGUGAAGUUCACAAAGAAGAACAAAGACCGUAUUUCACUGGAUGGUGCAUCUCACGAUGAAGAGCAGAAGAACUGAGAGCUAUUGGACUGAUGCCGGUGACAGGUCUUGAAUUCUAAACCUCAACAUGGAGAUGCUCAAUGGACAGUAACGAGAUCUGUUCUGCAAUCUCCUUAAAGGGGUUGUCUCACUUCAGCAUGUAGACAAAGUUAAUGCAAGGCACUUCCUAUUAUAUUUUGAUCGUCCAUAUUGCCUCA